rnacentral:rRNA from 1 species
UACAGAGGUCUCAAGCGUUGUUCGGAUUCAUUGGGCGUAAAGGGUGCGUAGGCGGCGCGGUAAGUCGGGUGUGAAAUCGUCGGAGCUUAACUCCGAAACUGCAUUCGAUACUGCCGUGCUUGAGGACUGGAGAGGAGACUGGAAUUUACGGUGAGCGGUGAAAUGCGUAGAUAUCGGUAAGGAAGACCAGUGGCGAAGGCGGGUCUCUGGAC